UUUUAAGAACUUUAUCCAUUUCUAUUGCUAAAAGUUGACAUGGCUAAUAAAAUAAUUAGACAAUUAUACGUGACAUGCCACAUGUACCUUAUUCUAAUGUACAUAGACUUGUUUUUAACCGUAGAAAUGGAUGGAAUUUUCAAAA
rfam:Gossypium arboreum cultivar AKA8401 contig_12279_1, whole genome shotgun sequence.